rfam:Flavobacterium branchiophilum FL-15, complete genome.
AUGUUGCUUGCGUUAGGGAUAGCAGUGGAAAUCCUUUUUUGAGGCUUUUUCUGCCUCAAAAAAGAUUGAAACGGAUAGCCCGACCCUUG